rnacentral:rRNA from 1 species
GACAGAGGGUGCAAACGUUGUUCGGAAUUACUGGGCGUAAAGCGCGUGUAGGCGGCUUGGCAAGUCGGGUGUGAAAGCCCCGGGCUCAACCUGGGAAGUGCACUCGAAACUGCUUGGCUUGAGUACUGGAGAGGGAAGCGGAAUUCUCGGUGUGAGAGGUGAAAUUCGUAGAUAUCGAGAGGAACACCGGUGGCGAAGGCGGCUUACCUGGA